rnacentral:tRNA from 1 species
GGAGGCGUGGCCGAGUGGUUUAAGGCGGUGGUCUUGAAAACCAUUGGACGAAAGUCCCAGGGGUUCGAAUCCUCUCGCCUCCGCCA